GGAGAGGGCGGGGAAGCGCGCAUGGCAGCUUUAUUUUCGCUCCAAAAGGUCUCUUCAAUGGAAUGUUUAAAUAUUUAGUUUUUAAGAGCCAUAUUUUUCCACCGUCGAUCAAGCACAAUGCCCUAACCUGGGAAAUGUGUUUUUGUCUUCUUUCUUCCUCGUAGAUUAAUUAGGCGUUUUUUCCUCUUGACAACAUAAGCAAGCCUCAUUUAUAGAAAGCCGUUUCUUUUGGACACUUUCCCAGAAUUAAUAAGCUCCAAAACAGUUAAUCUCUUUGGAUUGGUUCCCAGUUGUACUGACUUGUAAGCUUAAGCUUGACACUGUUAAUAUCGUAGCAAUGACUUAUUAGUCUCGUGUUACUGUACAAACCGAACCUUUGCAGAACCAAACCACGUCAAUCCCAAAUUUGUGAGAACUUCGUCCAAAAAAUGACAGAAAAGAAAGGAAUUCUUAUAUUACUUUCUUUGUGGACGCUCUUAGUUUUUAAAGGUUCCAAAGGAUUCAGUUUCGAUACCAAAGUACAUUGCAAUCCGAGAAGCAUGGUUCUGAUAGUCAAAUCAUCUUCCAACCAGAGCCUUCAACUUAGUCUCAUGAACAGUAGUUGUAAGGCAGUGAAGAUCAACAACACGCAUGUCCUCUUUCAAACACCGCUGACUGCAUGCGGCACACAGUACAAGUUAUCUGACGAACGAGUAGUAUUUUUCAAUUGGCUGAUAAUUAAGAAGUCUGACCAAUCACAAAGGAUCCAAACAUCACGUGUUAUAGAGCGUUCUGUGCCAUUUCAUUGUGUGUAUAAAAAGAAAGACGUUGCAGAGAUUAUGAAAGUUUUUGAGCCUCUAAAUUUCGAUCCAAGUAGAUCAAGCCCCCAAGAGCUGUUCAGUUUACUCGGGCUCCCUGUUAAGAUCCAAUGUACAUUCAGAAGCGGCGCUACUCCUGUCACAGUCAAAUUCUUCAAAAAUCAAACCAUGGUUGCCAUGGCAACCAAUCAGUCAAUACUGACAGAGAUCGUGAUGGCAAGAAAAAGGGAUUUUGGUGAAUAUACUUGUAUUGCAAUAGAUAGAAACGGAAAGACAGCAAUGCAUAAUAUUACCAUCAAACACCUCGAUCACGCCGCUGUACCCCGUGAUGGAGUCUACACCACGUGCUCGGAGUCCUCCUUCCACGUGAUCAUGAAUCGGACUUUGUACCCCUGGUUACAGCCUGCAUUGAAACACUUACAUUUGCGUGACCAUUCCUGUGAGCCGUGGCACAUCAACAAUACUCAUAUCAUACUAAACUCCUCUUAUGAUCAAUGCAAAACCUUCAGAAAAGAAAGCUAUAGGGAAGUAAUUUAUGAUAAUGUAUUCAUUGUCCAUGUCAAGCCUCGUGAUGAUGUCCCUGUGUUGGAUGUCCCGGAUAUUGAGUUUGCUAUCGAAUGCCGACUGAGAAGAAAACCUCUAUCAAGAAUAACCGUCAUGCCGUCCGUUCAGGGCAAAGUUUAUUAUCUUAACGGGCAGUUAUUCGGUAUAUUCCAUCAUGGGAGUACAGUUAGAGCUGUGUGUCAAACAGAUCCCCACGAGAAAUUCGUUGCAUGGAAGGUCAAGAAUGGGAGGCAACCAUUGACAAGGAGCAAGGAAAAAGCCUUGAACAAAAUGUUGUUGGUGGAGAAUGUUACAGAUAGUAAUGGAGGGGUUUACGUCUGUGUUACUACCAGAAGACACUUAACAUUACACUUUUUCGUAAAAGCUCAUUUUUACGCCAAGAGCAAGCAGUACAUCAGGAAGGGAAGGGAUGGUGCCGUCGUUUGUUCUGCCGGUGGGUUUCCCGAAGUAACGAAAUCGUGGACCAAAAAUGGCAUUAAGAUAGACAUGAAAGGACGCUUUUCCAUUGACAAGAAGGGAAAUUUGAUGAUUGCUGAAGCACGGAAAGAAGAUAGUGGGCUCUACGCGUGUGAAGUAGAACAAGUGUUUGAAGUACCGUUAAGAAUGAGAGCAUUUCAGGAGAUAAACAUUAUGGUUGAAAUAUAUGAUCCUCUGGUUAUCGAUAGAUUCAUGACGAGCAGAAAACAAAUCAACACAUACGAAGGUCUUAAAACCAACAUCAUAUGUUCCUUCAAACACGGAGCUACCCCUAUAUCAAUAACACUAUCAAAGAACGGUCAGAACAUCGAAUCAGUGGUCAAGGUCAGAGGAAGAACGCUUUACGCCUUGUUGCAAACAAACUCUGGAAGCUUCGGAAAGUAUGUAUGUGUCGCGAAAGAUGCUGUUGGAAAGAAGAUUCAUUAUGUCAUGAAUCUGAGAAAAAUAGGCAAAAAAGAUUCUCUAAUAAACGGCAUAGGAUUAAACUGCUACAAGGACUACAUGGAUGUGACUUUCAAUCUUUUGGAGUUUCCCUUUCUUGACACCAACAACUACCAUAUCCACCUAAACUCAUCAGAGUGCGAGCCUUACGAGUUCACAAACACAUACCUUCGAAUCCAGGUCCCGCUCUCAGGAUGUGGAACCACGGUCAAGCAGCAUGGUCAAGUGGCUAGCUACUAUAAUAGCUUGAUUGUUCGUUUGGCAAAGGAAAAGUGGCGGAAUAAGUUAAUAAAUAGAGUCCCGGAUCUGGUGUUUCCAUUCCAGUGCGCUUACAAAAAAACGAUUGUCGAGGAACGCAGUAUUCAAGUUCCUAUUGAUUCCCUGAAGGUCAACGCGCUUCACUCCAGCCCUCUCUAUGUCACCUCUUUGCUCAACAUCAGGUUGCGGUUAACAUGCUCUUUCAUAGGCGGAGUUCAGCCUUUGAAAAUGAACAUGAUCAAAGAUGGAAAACAAGUCGUGGAGGCUGAAAAAGUUGACGAAAAUACCCUGACUACUGUAGUUUGGGCUGGUUUUUCUGCUGUAGGGUCGUAUGAGUGUAAUGCAGUUGAUGAGACGGGUCAGAAGGGUAAACAUAAGAUAACACUGGGAUUAACAGAUUGGAAAAAAGUGCCAAAGACACGAGGGAUUUCAAUUCAGUGUGACUCUAAUUCUAUCAGUAUUUCGUUGGACCGUCAUGUUCACACCUGGAUUCACCCAGAGUUCCUGACCAUCCAUCUUGCAGACGAGAGGUGUAAGCCCUCUUUUAUCGACUCUUCGCAUAUGCUCAUUGCAACACCGCUGAACAGCUGUGGUACUUUAUAUAAAGAGACCGACGAUCAUGUCGUGUAUCGAAAUAAACUGAUAUUAAGUGAGCGUGUCGAGGUUUUUCGGGUGAUUACCUGGUCGCCUGUGGUCGCUUUUCCAAUCGAGUGUAGAUAUAAAAGAAAAGUAGGUGGUAGUCUGAUAACUGUUGAACAUGCGUGAGAUCGAUUGGCAUGGGUCAUAGUAUUUUUACUGCAUGGAUAUAAUGUAAGGACUUUGGCAGAUGUAAAUAAACAUACUGAUAUGAUGAUAUUUAGCACCAAACGUGAUAUAAACAAAAACUAGGCGGUGGUCUGAUAACUGUUGAACAUGCGUGAGAUCGAUUGGCAUGGGUCAUAGUAUUUUUACUGCAUGGAUAUAAUGUAAGGACUUUGGCAGAUGUAAAUAAA